rnacentral:lncRNA from 1 species
GUUGUUCUGCAAAACCCUGUGGGCAGUACUAUGUGUGUAAAAUGUGCAUAAAAGCAGAGUGUUGGAUUAAAGCUUCAGUUCUACUUCACCCUCAAUUUGGAGUGCCGUCUCUUAUUGGGGGAAUCUGCUACAAGGGAUUGCUAUGCUCUGCAUAUUCCCUUGCUAUAAUCACUGAGCUCUUGUAAGAGCUUGUUCCUGUCUUGCUCUCUGAAGGAG